AUGAUUUAGUAGAUCUAGUUAGUUUACUUUCAUCUAUUAUGCAGCAGAUAGACAGGUGUACAAGGAGAUUCAUCCUCUUCGCUAUUUUCCUCCUGCUUUUUGUGAUAUUAUUGGUACCCUUAUGGCGUCACCUGGAUCCGCAAACAACAAGCAGACAACAGCAGCUACCAGUGAUAGAUCCAGUUGUUUAUGCGCAUCAAAAGAAGGCCGUCAGUCCUGGUUCCCUGUCCCAAAAAAUUUCUCCCGAUCAUCCAUCAAGCCACAGUGACCUCUGGAUAGACUUGGAUCCAGAAAAGAUGACAAUAAUUCGAAGAACUGUAUUUUUUGAUUCUAGGAAAUACUUUGGUCCUCAAAUAGUGAUAAUUUCUAUGCACCACGAUGCCAUUA